GGCGAUGUGGCGGAACGGAAUACGCGGCUGUUUCAAGAACAGUUGAUCGUAAGAUCGUGAGAGUUCGACUCUCUCCAUCGCCA
rnacentral:tRNA from 2 species